UGCGCGUGUGCGCGCGUGUGUGCUACAGUAUGAGUCGAACUGAGGGGGCUGCUGCAGCCUACCUCCCCUCCCCCCAGUCCCCAGGAGAGCAGUGAAUCAGCCUGACAAUGAGGCACUCUGCUGGGAGGAGAUGUGCGGUUUCUGCAUCAAGAAGCUUGCAGUUUAGAGGAAGAAACGGACACUGACCCUAUAAUGCCACAAAUAGAUAUAUACAAAGAUGAAGAAAGCAAAAGGU